CGUAGCCGCGGGAAUACGUAGGUCCCGAGCGUUGUCCGGAUUUAUUGGGCGUAAAGCGAGCGCAGGCGGUUUGAUAAGUCUGAAGUUAAAGGCUGUGGCUCAACCAUAGUUCGCUUUGGAAACUGUCAAACUUGAGUGCAGAAGGGGAGAGUGGAAUUCCAUGUGUAGCGGUGAAAUGCGUAGAUAUAUGGAGGAACACCGGUGGCGAAAGCGGCUCUCUGGUCUGUAACUGACGCUGAGGCUCGAAAGCGUGGGGAGCGAACAGGAUUAGAGACCCCAGUAGUCCCUGUCUCUUAUACAC
rnacentral:rRNA from 1 species